rnacentral:rRNA from 1 species
GACGAACGCUGGCGGCGUGCUUAACACAUGCAAGUCGAACGGAGUGGCGAACGGGUGAGUAACACGUGGGUGACCUGCCCUGCACUUCGGGAUAAGCCUGGGAAACUGGGUCUAAUACCGGAUAGUGUGGGAUGGGCCCGCGGCAUAUCAGCGUGUGGGGGGGGUAAUGGCCGACCAAGGCGGCGACGGGUAGCCGGCCUGAGAGGGGGGACGGCCACAUUGGUACUGGUACACGGCCCAGACUCGUACGGGAGGCAGCAGUCGGGAAUAUUGCACAAUGUGCGGAAGCCUGAUGCAGCGACGCCGAGGGGGGGAUGACGGCCUUCGGGUUGUAAACUCCUUUCACCAUCGACGCGGUAGAUGGAGAAGAAGCACCGGCUAACUACGUGCCAGCGGCGGCGGUAAUAC